rnacentral:rRNA from 1 species
GACGAACGCUGGCGGCGUGCUUAACACAUGCAAGUCGAGCGGAAAGGCCCUGCUUUUGUGGGGUGCUCGAGUGGCGAACGGGUGAGUAACACGUGAGUAACCUGCCCUUGACUUUGGGAUAACUUCAGGAAACUGGGGCUAAUACCGGAUAGGAGCUCCUGCUGCAUGGUGGGGGUUGGAAAGUUUCGGCGGUUGGGGAUGGACUCGCGGCUUAUCAGCUUGUUGGUGGGGUAGUGGCUUACCAAGGCUUUGACGGGUAGCCGGCCUGAGAGGGUGACCGGCCAAAUUGGGACUGAGAUACGGCCCAGACUCCUACGGGAGGCAGCAGUGGGGAAUAUUGCACAAUGGGCGGAAGCCUGAUGCAGAAACGCCGCGUGCGGGAUGACGGCCUUCGGGUUGUAAACCGCUUUCGCCUGUGACGAAGCGUGAGUGACGGUAAUGGGUAAAGAAGCACCGGCUAACUACGUG